CAUAAGGACACGUGGACAUAGGGACAUGUGGACAUAGGGACACACAGACAUAGGGAUACAGGGACACACGAACGUAGGGACAUGGGGUCACAUGCACGUAGGGACACAUGGACACGUGGACAUAGAGAAACAUGGAUAUAGGGACACAUGGACAUAAGGACACAGGAAGAAAUGGACACAUGAACAUAAGGACAUAUGGACUUAGGGACUCGUGGACCUAGGGACAAGUGGCCAUAGGGACACAUGGACAUAGGGACAUGUGGAUGUAGGGACACAUGGACACACGGACAUAGAGACACGUGGACAUGCAAACGCAGGAAGAACUGGACACAUGAACAUAGGGACACGUGGACAUAGGGACACAUGGAUACAGGGACACGUGAAUACAUGAACAUAGGGACACAGGGACACAUGGACAUAUGGACAUAGGGACACGGAAACAUGGACAUGUGGACAUAGGGACACAUGGAUGUAGGGACACGUGGAUGUAUGGACACACAGACACGGGCACACACAGACAUGCAAACGCAUGGACAGAUGGACACACAGACACAGGGACACCUGGAAACAAGGACAUAGGGACAAGAGGACAAAGAGAUGCACAGACACAUGGACACAGGGACGCACAGACACAGAGACACAGGGAUGUACAGACAUGGGGACACACAGACACAAAGACACAUGGACAGACAGAUACAGGGACCCAUGGACACAGGGACAUAGGAAUACAGGGACACACUGACACACAUACAGGCACAUGGACACGGGGACCAACGGAUAAGCGGAUACAAGGACACACAGACACACGGACACACACGGAUACAUGGAUGCGUGUCUGCAGGCACGCCACGAGCCCAUGGGAUGUGUAUUGCCAGAUGCAUGCGCACUGCUGAGGCUGCACACCCUGACCUUGGGGGUCCCAUCCAGCUGUGCCCACAUGCCAGCACCGUGCAUCCCGGCCAGGCCAGCAGCACUCAGGCUGCUCGGGUCACAGCAGAACGGCACUGGGGAAGCAGAGGCCAAGCUGCUGGCCCCGUAUCACGGCGAAGCACUGCGGGGUUGGAUGGAGGCAGCCCCCCUCCAGCUGUGCAGGAGCGGGGCCAUGGCUCUGCCUGACCCUGCAGUCCGUGGGCCGCAGAACGGCAUUUUUGUGUGGGAGCCAGGGCAGGAGCGCGGGGACGCAGCUGGGAAGGAACGAAGGCGGGCGGAGGUAGAGGCGGAUGCUGGGGGCGAGCGGGACGUGCAGGGGAGAGCUGAGCACUCUUCCAAGGGAUAAGCUCACAGCCAACACUGGGGGCGGUGCAGCCCCCCCAGAGCAGCGGCUCUAUCAGCGUUGGCUCCGCAGCGCUCCCUGCAUUGGUGCUUUCCAGCAAUCCCUGUUGUGCCUGGAAAGCACUGGAGCAGGGAGCAGAGCAGGGAGCAGCACACGUGGCCCUGGUGUGAGGUGAGGGAGCAGUGCACACAACCCAAGGACAGAGCCAGGAGUGGGGAGAAGGAGGAGAAGCCCUCCUCCGUGGCAACGGCCAUCCUGCAGCAGGCAGGGGUGGAUUGGUGCCGUCACAGCUGCUGUGAUGGGGACGGCACCCCAAAGCUCCAGCACUGCAGACAUCCCCACUGGGGUCAGAUGCUCGAGGCUGGCCCCGUGCCACUCAUUUCCAUGGCACUGGGGUUGGAGCCUGGAGGGGCCCCACACCCCCUGCUCCCAGCAGAGCUGUGUUUGCCUUCGCCCGCCUCGCAGGCUGCUCGCUUCCUUCCCCAGCCAUAAAUAAAACCGCGCCGUAAAUCGGAGGGAAUGAACAGCAUAAUGCAGCCUUUCUCCUCGCUCCCUCCUGGCUGCGGGGUGGGCAGGGACCGCUUCCUCCUGCCGGCUGCCCACGGCCCCAUCCCACAGCCCCAUAUGCCACCCGACACAGCGGGGCCACCCAUGGCAGAGCAGGAGGGCUGGGAGCUCGCUACCUUAUAAAGUCAUCCAGCCCCAAGGCUGACGCUGCAG
ensembl:lncRNA